rnacentral:rRNA from 1 species
UACAGAGGUCUCAAGCGUUGUUCGGAUUCAUUGGGCGUAAAGGGUGCGUAGGCGGCGCGGUAAGUCGGGUGUGAAAUCUCGGGGCUUAACUCCGAAACUGCAUUCGAUACUGCCGUGCUUGAGGACUGGAGAGGAGACUGGAAUUUACGGUGUAGCGGUGAAAUGCGUAGAUAUCGUAAGGAAGACCAGUGGCGAAGGCGGGUCUCUGGACAGUUCCUGACGCUGAGGAACGAAGGUCAGGGGAGCAAACGGG